rnacentral:siRNA from 1 species
UGCUGUCAGGUAAGUCUAUUCUA